UACGUAGGGGGCAAGCGUUGUCCGGAAUCAUUGGGCGUAAAGAGCGUGUAGGCGGCUCGGUAAGUCCGCUGUGAAAGUCCAGGGCUCAACCCUGGAAUGCCGGUGGAAACUGUCGAGCCAGAGUCCGGAAGAGGCGAGUGGAAUCCUGGUGUAGCGGUGAAAUGCGCAGAUAUCAAGCAGAACACCUGCGGCGAAGGCGGCCUUCUGGACGAUGACUGACGCUGAGACACGAAAGCGUGGGGAGCAAACAGG
rnacentral:rRNA from 1 species